rnacentral:rRNA from 1 species
CCCUACGGGGGGCAGCAGUGAGGAAUAUUGGUCAAUGGUCGGGAGACUGAACCAGCCAAGCCGCGUGAGGGAUGAAGGUACAGAGUAUCGUAAACCUCUUUUGUCAGGGAACAAAGGCGGGGACGUGUCCCCGGAUGAGUGUACCUGAAGAAAAAGCAUCGGCUAACUCCGUGCCAGCGGCCGCGGUAAUACGGAGGAUGCGAGCGUUAUCCGGAUUUAUUGGGUUUAAAGGGUGCGCAGGCGGUCUGUUAAGUCAGCGGUCAAAGCCCGGGGCUCAACCCUGGCCCGCCGUUGAAACUGGCAGU